AGUGACCUUGUUUAUUGUUGAUUUAAGACUCAUGUCACAGUAUAUUUUCAUGGCUCUGUUGCAACAGAUUAAACUCAUCUUCUUAUAAAAAUGCAUAUUAAUAAGAUGAACACAAGAGUAUGACCUCAUUGAGACUCCAGGACAACAAAAGUAGAACAUCCUGGCUCAGCAAAAGUAAAGUAUCUUUUGCGUGUGUGCAUCUGUCUAUUCUAAAUCCGACAUAUUCUGCUUCAGACAUGGGAAGUGUAGCUUAUGGGUGAUUAUCACAAAGCUAUGAAUCCAGACAGUGUGUCCAAUGCUGUAAGAUGCCUUAUCUGCUUGAACACAUUCAGAGGGCAGCCAGUGGCGAGUCCACAACACUGUGAACACUUCUACUGCCUCGACUGCAUCACAGAAUGGGCCAAGAUUACAAAUUCUUGCCCUGUAGAUCGCCAGAAAUUUACUGUCCUCUACCAGAGAAGUUGCAUUGAAAGGACUAUUCAGAAAAUAAUUACAGUGAAGCCACCUGAUAGUCAG